rnacentral:rRNA from 1 species
CAGCCGUAAACUAUGCGCGUUAGGUGUACUGGUGACCACGAGUCACCGGGGUGCCGAAGGGAAACCGUGAAACGUGCCGCCUGGGAAGUACGGUCGCAAGGCUGAAACUUAAAGGAAUUGGCGGGGGGAGCACCACAACGGGUGGAGCCUGCGGUUUAAUUGGACUCAACGCCGGAAAUCUCACCGGAUAGGACAGCAGAAUGAUUGCCGGGCUGAAGACCCUGCAUGACUAGCUGAGAGGAGGUGCAUGGCGUAGACGUCU